AAACAGGAAGCUGACAUGUCACGGAGCACGGCGAGCCUGUGAGCGGCUGGGCCUCUACCUUGGACCCCCAAAGGCCAGGAGACUCUUAUGCAUCCCUCAAAGCCCAAUUCAAAAGGUGCCUCUUCCAGUUUAAACACUGGACGUCCUCUGUCCAAUUGAGAUCCUAAGGUCAAAAAGAACUGCCAAUAAAUCUUGACCUCUCGUUAGUAGGUUUGUCACAGGAUGUGGUAUCAGUGUAACAAUUCUGCAACAACUGUGUAUUACGGGAAAGAGCAUCAGUGGAUAAAUGCGGUGGCAUUGCUCCAAACCCUGGUUCUUUCUGGGAAAGAAAGGAGACACAAACCGGGAAAGGCAAAGCAAGGAAGAGCCCCGUGGCGUUGGAUGGGAACUGGAUGGCUCAAUGUGAAAGCAUGCUGUUUUCGGUUUGUUUUUGGUUUUUUUUCUGUAAAGGAGUUUUUCCUCCUUUGUUUAUAUCAAUGUGGUUACAUUUGGCCUUCCUGUUUUCGUCAAUGGGUUCGAAUCCAUUACUACGAUGAUUGAUGUGGGAUGCUCAAACCGUCCCGGAUUUGGCCCAUGGGACCCUUUUCAAGCUGCCUCCUUGUCCUUCUGCCAAGUGCCCAUCAUUCUCUGGGCACUUCCUUUGACCAGUAUGUUCCAGGCCCGUUGAAGCCUUUUCCUGCGUCAGCCUAGAAUCAGCUGCUUUGGAGAGGAUCCUAACACCAGGAUCGAGCUGGUGUUAGCUGAGAGUAUUAAUGCUUCUAGACACACGAGAGAGAAACACAGAGCUAGGGGGUAGAAACACACACGGACACAUGCACACACAUACAUACACACACACAUACACAUACACACUCAUGUAUAAAUAUACUCCUGUAUGAACUCAUUACAUACAUCGAUAUGAAAGAGCUCAUUCUAGAUGAGUCUCAAGAAAUAUAUUUACUUGUGGACAGAGUAUGUCCAUAUUUCUACGUUCAGGUCUCUGUGUGUCUGUCUAGUUCCAGAUAAUAGAUUAAAAACCAUGAACUCAAACAGAUAUGAAUCAGUGAGCGCGGGGGAGCGUCGAAGCCUGUCCUUUGCCCUCCACAGCUUUGUGGAAGGCUGGAAAUUUUCUAUGUAGAAAGUGGAUAGGCUCUAUGUGAACUAUGUGAGCAAACUAUAUUUAGCUCAAAAUAAAAGGUUUAUGUAAAAACAAGCAAACAAAAAACAAACAAGGGGCACCUGGGUGGCUCAGUCGUUAAGGGUCCUCCUUCGGCUCAGAUUGCGGGGCCUGGGAUUGAGCCCCGCAUGGGGAUCCCUGAUCGGCGGGAAGCCUGCUUCUCCCUCUCCCACUCCCCCUGCUUGUGUUCCCUCUCUCACCGUGUCUCUCGCUGUCAAAUAAAUAAAUAAAAUCUUUAAAAACGAAACAAAACAAAACAAACAGAAGUCAUGGGGCAAAAAGAGGAACACGGCAGAAGCCGUGACCUACCCCGGAGCCCCUAGGGCUUGGCCAGCUCCCCACAGCCCUUUGCCAGUCUCCCCUCCAGGCCCCUCCCCGUCUUCCGCUCAGACCCCAGCGUGACAGGAUGUUACAAGGCUCUUUCCGGCUCAGUUUCAGCUGAGGUUUCAAAGCCUCAGAAUGGGGCAGCCAGGGGUUGGGGGGCACCCCCUCCCCAAGCUUGAGAUGCCUAGAGGCAGGCGUAGGCAGCAUUCUUCUUAGGAAGCCAAGCAUGCGUCCCCUGGGGUUUGGGGGGCCAGCCGGCUGGCUUAUUUGGUAUUUUUCAAAGUCUUUAUUCUGUGCCAAGUCACACACACAAAAAGGUGAGUGGCUCUCCAAAGGGCCACGGAGAGUAUGUGGCCGGGCUGAGGGCGGGGAGUCAAGCCUGGGCAGAGACCUGAGCCAGGCCGGGCCAUGACCCCAGUGCUGCCCAUGAUCUUGGCCUGGAGCCUGAGCAGCACACAGUGAGCAAAGAGAGCCAGGCUGGGGGUGAGGCACAGAUUCAGGAGUUCAAAUGGACCCAGUUCCCAGAGACCACACAGGACCCCCAAAUGGGACUUGACUGAGAGGACCCUUGGGGACAUCGGGCACCCCAGCUGACGGUAGCUAGUGGGGCCUAGAGUGAGGGGGGCAUCAGAUCCGGCACCUGGGACAGCAUCAAG